rnacentral:rRNA from 1 species
AACGAACGCUGGCGGCAUGCCUAACACAUGCAAGUCGAACGAGACCUUCGGGUCUAGUGGCGCACGGGUGCGUAACGCGUGGGAACCUGCCUUUAGGUUCGGAAUAACUCAGAGAAAUUUGAGCUAAUACCGGAUGAUGUCUUCGGACCAAAGAUUUAUCGCCUUUAGAUGGGCCCGCGUUGGAUUAGCUAGUUGGUGGGGUAAAGGCCUACCAAGGCGACGAUCCAUAGCUGGUCUGAGAGGAUGAUCAGCCACACUGGGACUGAGACACGGCCCAGACUCCUACGGGAGGCAGCAGUGGGGAAUAUUGGACAAUGGGCGAAAGCCUGAUCCAGCAAUGCCGCGUGAGUGAUGAAGGCCUUAGGGUUGCAAAGCUCUUUUACCCGAGAUGAUAAUGACAGUAUCGGGAGAAUAAGCGCCGGCUAACUCCGUG